UUAACAUCCUCAUCCUGCGAGUCCACAAACCCUCUGGGGUAGAAAUGGUGUCUCAGUGAUCUUUGGAGCUGGGCAAGGAUGCCUGGCCCAGCAGUGACUCAGCUUAUUUGCCUGCUGACAUGCCUGAAGUGCUGUAGGAGGGGCCAGAAUGGCACACAGGUAGACUACAUUAU